ACUGGCCCUGCCCUACAGUGACAUCACUGUGCCCACCCCCCUCACCCUCUAUUACUUGGAACUCUUUGUCUGGAGGAGGAUGUGAAUGGGGUGAGCAGCUGGAGGUCCGAGUGCCCCCCCACUUUCCUCCCCUUCACACCCCUCCCCUCCGUUACCCCCAUCUUCCAGACUGACGGAUCCGGAGGGUCCUGCUAGUGCCUCAGUGUCUGUGAGUGAGCUCUCCCAUCCCCAUCUUCCCCCCUUCUUCUACACUGAGGAAUCCUGAGGGUCCUACUAGUGCCUAAGUGCCUGUGAGUGAAGUUGCCAAGGUGUCCCAUGUAUUCCUCCCUCUCCCUAUCCUCAAAGGACAUGCCAUGGAACAAAUCAUAUUGCCUGUUGUAGGGAGGGAAAGAAAAAUGAGUGCAAGUGAUUGAUGAAUUUGGGAAAAGAUGUGCAAUGUGUAACACCUGUGGACCUGUCACCUACUGGAUGGGGCUUUGGACAUUUUCUUUGCAGAAUUCCAAAUUACUUUCGAAAAAGGAUGUGUCAUUUUACAGCUCCUCCAAUAAGGUUGUAUCCAGAGUUCUAUCAUGUCUAACUUUUCUAAUAUUCUUUUCCUCUCCUUUACUACUUUUUUAUUACAUUAUGCAUAGAUUUGCAUAAUUCUGAGAGGGUAAAUUUGAGGACAUCACUUAGAAGAGUUUUACCAUCUGUUUCCUUCUGUAAGUCAUUUAACUUUUCCUUUAACAAAUUGGAUGAGAGGCACCAUUUUGUUUUAGUAUUGAGAUUAUUGGGGAUUACUGCGCCCAGUGGGCUUUUCUCCUUAAGAAAGGCAGGAGCAGCCCCAGUUGGGAUGACAAUGGUUCUUUUAUAGGGUAAGGGUGAGUAGAAUUGGCUGAUAGACAAGGUGGCAUGUUAAUUAGCUCUUUGGUUGCUCUAGGGUAAGCAGUGGUAGGUACUGCAUGGUUCUGUGGUCCAUUAUUAGGUAGGGGCUGGAGUAUGAUUGGUCAGUUCAGGGGCUCUGGAUACAAGGUGUUGUCAAGGUCAAUAUGGAUACAAGUUGUUGUCAAGGACAUUCCUCAUCUGGACUGUGUCCUCACUAGUGCUUGCAUCUCCAGAAGCUAGCAGUGUACCUCUUAAGCAGGAGUUACUUCAGAAAUGCUGCUUGAUUGCUUAAUUAGGCCACCUGUCUUUCUCUGUGCUCAGCAUAUAGGAGGAGCUUCACCAAUAACUAUAGAAUGAAUAAAUUAGUGAGUUGUAGGUCUAGGCUAGAGUAAUUAUUAAUGAUCAUAUUUAUAUCUCUUAUUUAUAAUUUUCAUCACUUAUUACUGUAUUAUUUUAACUAUCAUAUCUAACUCAUGUAUUCCUUUAUAAUUUAAUUUGAUACUUGGUGUGAGGUAUUGAACUCCUAUCAAAUUUCUGCCAAACUGCUUUCCACUUAUGCCAUCUGUUUUCUUUUUUCCUUUUUUCAUCUACUACAAGCCAUUCUAGUUUUGUGUAAGUGGACAAUUGGACAAGCUUGUAAGUAGAAGAAUUUUGAAAUAAUGUGAAUUUGCCCACCGAUGUGGUUACAAGGGAGGAAGUGGGUCACAUGCCUAUGAAAGGAGGGGGCCAGGAGACAGUUCAAGGACACUGGGGGCCAGGGACAGAGAAACAAGAACAGGAAGAGAAUCAGGUGGGUGUUGGGGCCAGCCAUAUGAUGGCCUGGCCAGAAUUUAGAGGAAGAACAAGUGGAGGACAGACAUGUGGAGGCUGGAUGUGGCCACACACAGAAAAGGAGAGGUGACACAUGGACUGAAGACACACAGUACCCCGAGCGGAGGUGGACAGAAGACUGACAUGGGGAUGCCACACCUGUGGAUUAAUGGAGCAGCCAAAUAUCUCCUCUCUCAGUGCUGGAGGUCUCAAGCCAAGCCCUGAUCCUGAAGCUGCAGAGGUGGAAGGAAUCACUCUGCACGUCCACAACCCAUUUCUUUUCCCUUCCUCCUUCUCCAUGAAUACCCUUUAGUUACUUUACCUCGUUUUAAAAGAGAAAUAAUUGAUUUUUUCUGUAUCUUACCUAUGGUAUCCCAUAUAUCCCUCCGUCUCCCUCUCCUCCUCCCUGAGAGCCAUGCCAUGUGACAAAUGGUAAUUUUUG